AGAGUUUGAUCAUGGCUCAGGACGAACGCUGGCGGCGUGCCUAACACAUGCAAGUCGAGCGGUCCAGCACUCAAGCUUGCUUGGGUGCUGGGUAGCGGCGAACGGGUGAGUAACGCGUGGGUGACCUGCCCGGGAGACUGGGAUAACAGUUCGAAAGGGCUGCUAAUACCGGAUGAUCCCCAGCACUCAACCGAAGGAAUUAGGCUUGGUUUUAGAGGAAGCUUUCUUGUAGGUUCAAUGAGGUUUUUUCUAUGGUACAGCCUGGUUUUUUGGGUUGAGUGCUGGGGCAAAGCGUUUAGCGCUCCUGGAUGGGCCCGCGUCCCAUUAGCUAGUUGGUGGGGUAAUGGCCUACCAAGGCGGCGAUGGGUAGCCGGUCUGAGAGGAUGGUCGGCCACACUGGGACUGAGACACGGCCCAGACUCCUACGGGAGGCAGCAGUGGGGAAUUUUGCGCAAUGGGGGGAACCCUGACGCAGCGACGCCGCGUGGGUGAUGAAGGCCUUCGGGUUGUAAAGCCCUGUUGGGGGGGAAGAUAAUGACGGUACCCCCUGAGGAAGCCCCGGCUAACUACGUGCCAGCAGCCGCGGUAAU
rnacentral:rRNA from 1 species